UACGUAGGGUGCGAGCGUUAAUCGGAAUUACUGGGCGUAAAGCGUGCGCAGGCGGUUCGUCGUGUCCGAUGUGAAAGCCCCGGGCUCAACCUGGGAAUGGCAUUGGAAACUGGCGGGCUUGAGUGUGGCAGAGGGGGGUGGAAUUCUCGGUGUAGAGGUGAAAUUCGUAGAUAUCGAGAGGAACACCGGUGGCGAAGGCGGCCUUCUGGACAGUGACUGACGCUGAGACGCGAAAGCGUGGGGAGCAAACAGG
rnacentral:rRNA from 1 species